rnacentral:lncRNA from 1 species
CCUGCCUCCCAUCAGACUUCAACAUCUCAAGCCUCUCUGGUCUGCUGUCCCCGGCGCUAACGGAGAGCCUGCUGGUUGCCUUGCCCCCCUGUCACCUCACAGGAGGCAAUGCCACACUGAUGGUCCGGAGAGCCAAUGACAGCAAAGGGUGACGUCCAGCUUUGUGGUGCCUCCGUGCCGUGGGCGCAGGGAACUGGUGAGUGUGGUGGACAGUGGUGCUGGCUUCACAGUCACUCGGCUCAGUGCAUACCAGGUGACAAACCUCG